AACGAACGCUGGCGGCAGGCCUAACUCAUGCAAGUCGAGCGGACCUUUCGGGGUCAGCGGCGGACGGGUGAGUAACGCGUGGGAAUAUGCCCUUCUCUACGGAAUAGUCCUGGGAAACUGGGGGUAAUACCGUAUACGCCCUUUGGGGGAAAGAUUUAUCGGGGAAGGAUUAGCCCGCGUUGGAUUAGGUAGUUGGUGGGGUAAUGGCCUACCAAGCCGACGAUCCAUAGCUGGUUUGAGAGGAUGAUCAGCCACACUGGGACUGAGACACGGCCCAGACUCCUACGGGAGGCAGCAGUGGGGAAUCUUAGACAAUGGGGGCAACCCUGAUCUAGCCAUGCCGCGUGAGUGAUGAAGGCCUUAGGGUUGUAAAGCUCUUUCAGCUGGGAAGAUAAUGACGGUACCAGCAGAAGAAGCCCCGGCUAACUCCGU
rnacentral:rRNA from 1 species